UACGUAGGGGGCAAGCGUUAUCCGGAAUUACUGGGUGUAAAGGGUGAGUAGGCGGCAUGGUAAGCCAGAUGUGAAAGCCUUGGGCUUAACCCGAGGAUUGCAUUUGGAACUAUCAAGCUAGAGUACAGGAGAGGAAAGCGGAAUUCCUAAUGUAGCGGUGAAAUGCGUAGAUAUUAGGAAGAACACCAGUGGCGAAGGCGGCUUUCUGGACUGAAACUGACGCUGAGGCACGAAAGCGUGGGGAGCGAACAGG
rnacentral:rRNA from 1 species